rnacentral:rRNA from 1 species
UACGAAGGGUGCAAACGUUGCUCGGAAUCAUUGGGCGUAAAGCGCACGUAGGCGGCUUAGCAAGUCGAAUGUGAAAUCCCUCGGCUCAACCAAGGAAGUGCAUCCGAAACUGCUGAGCUUGAGUACUUAAGAGGAUCGCGGAAUUCCCGGUGUAGAGGUGAAAUUCGUAGAUAUCAGGAGGAACACCGGUGGCGAAGGCGGGUCUCUGGGCCGAUACUGACGCUGAGGAGCGAAAGCGUGGGGGAGCGAACAGG